AUACGGAGGAUCCAAGCGUUAUCCGGAUUUAUUGGGUUUAAAGGGUGCGCAGGCGGCCAUUUAAGUCAGCGGUUAAAUCGUGGGGCUCAACCCCAUUCUGCCGUUGAUACUGGGUGGCUUGAUUGCGGUCGAGGUUGGCGGAAUUCGUUGUGUAGCGGUGGAAUGCAUAGAUAUGACGAAGAACACCGAUUGCGUAGGCAGCUGACCAGAUCGCAAAUGACGCUCAUGCACGAAAGUGCGGGGAUCGAACAGGAUUAGAUACCCUGGUAGUCCGCACAGUAAACGAUGAAUACUUGUUUUCGGCGAUAUAAUGUCGGAGGCAAAGCGAAAGCGAUAAGUAUUCCACCUGGGGAGUACGCCGGCAACGGUGAAACUCAAAGGAAUUGGCGGGG
rnacentral:rRNA from 1 species